GACGAACGCUGGCGGCAGGCCUAACACAUGCAAGUCGAGCGGACCUUUCGGGGUCAGCGGCGGACGGGUGAGUAACGCGUGGGAAUAUGCCCUUCUCUACGGAAUAGUCCUGGGAAACUGGGGGUAAUACCGUAUACGCCCUUUGGGGGAAAGAUUUAUCGGGGAAGGAUUAGCCCGCGUUGGAUUAGGUAGUUGGUGGGGUAAUGGCCUACCAAGCCGACGAUCCAUAGCUGGUUUGAGAGGAUGAUCAGCCACACUGGGACUGAGACACGGCCCAGACUCCUACGGGAGGCAGCAGUGGGGAAUCUUAGACAAUGGGGCAACCCUGAUCUAGCCAUGCCGCGUGAGUGAUGAAGGCCUUAGGGUUGUAAAGCUCUUUCAGCUGGGAAGAUAAUGACGGUACCAGCAGAAGAAGCCCCGGCUAACUCCGUG
rnacentral:rRNA from 1 species